UACGUUUUUUUCUCACUUUAGUGCUUUUAUUUCAAAAAUGGCGCCGAAAAUCAAAAAUUGACUUUUUUAAAGUACAAUUUAGACAACUUGAGCUCUCAGAAAAAGUAAUACACGUAAAAAUCGAAGCAAGUUUACAAGGAAAAGACGUGUCCACAGACUAGAACGAAAGAAAGAAAGGAAAAAAGAAAAAUUUUAGUAAAACCAAUAGAAGAAAAAAAACAAUAAAUAGCAUCAUAAAACCAAUAGCUCCCUCGCUACACUCGGAAUCUAAAACAUGUCUUAGUUGUUAUAAAGUUUUAUACGCUUAUGUUACCAACCCUGACAUUUUGUACAAAUUACCAUAAUAGAAAUGUCUAUUUCUGUCAUGGAGAUUACGACGUGGGAUUUACGCGUUUUCCUUAAUUUUACAUCAAAUUUAAACCACAUAUGAAUGAUUAUAACAUGUAGUUUGAAUAGAAA